rnacentral:lncRNA from 1 species
CCGAUACACAACACAAGACACAGGUAGUAGAACAACCACACUCCAUCUCCAUCCAUACCACGCCUGUAUUCACCCCUGUACAAGCACCUAGGUGCAAGAUAAUACAAACACUCCCCCCCGCUGGACGUAGGGCCUUCUCUUGCCCGAACCAGGAUAAAUCUCUGUGUCUUUUCUUACAUCACCAUCUGGAAAGGGGAGCAUGCACACAAGUUUUACUCGUUGGUGUGACCCCCCGGGGGGAAAACACUGACAACCGUUAAAGCAAUCAUCUACAUUGGAACUGGAGAAGUCCAUAUGCACUUCCCCUCAGAGAAGGUACGCUACUAUUUUACUAACCCUAACUAUAUCGUUGAAGACUCUAAGAAGGUCAGAAAACGACGCAACCACAACUAGAGGAGGGAAAUUAUCAAGGACGGAUGGGCAGACUAUGAAGGAGAAGUAGUAAGAUCAGAAAACAUACAACUUAAACAGAACUAUCGUGAGGAGACCGUAGCACCAAGUCAGGUGUGGAGAGAGAAGAUAACUAUACAUGAAGAAGAGGCGCCGCCGGAAGUACCGACUCCGCCACCCAACGAAUCCCAGGACAACUGAGAAAAUAGAGAGUCCCGUUCGGAGGACUUAAAAACACUGAACGCCUUGCCAAGAGGUAAACUUGGUAGUUAUCCUUUCCCUUUCAAUUAUUUAAACUAGUUCACUCAGUUAAUCAUGUUCGUACUAUCCUAAAAAGAAAAUAAAAAUGUUAAAAAACAGUAAGCCCCAUGUGAGUAUAUGAGUGACAUAAACCCCAUAAGUACAUUCACUGUGGUGGCAUAAAAAUAAAAUAAAUAUUUUUUCUGCUUUAUGUAUUGAAAAUAUAAAAAUAGAGAGUAAUAUUUAUUGAGGAAGCUCAACAUGAUAAAGGUUAGAUAUUUAUGCUAAUACUUAAUCAGUUCCACAAAGCUUUAUUGUCUAUUUGAGCUCCAUAGAAUCUAAGAAUCGAGAAGACUAGCAGAUGGAGGACAUUCUAAUCGCUGUCAAGAUACUACCAACUUUCAAAUACACCUCUGCCACCUGCUAGCUACAUCAGGAUAAAUUACGUCAAAAUUCAGCUUGGGGGAGAGCACCCCCAUUUAUCUCGCUAAGUAUUUCUAUCUAUCUUUAUACUUAUACUAUAUUAAAAUAUAAAUAUACAUAACUAUGAAAAACCAAAUAAAGAUUUUAUGCUUAUAUAUAUAUCUUUUGUUUAGUGUGUUUAAUAAAUAAAUAAAGUGGCUACGCUAAACUGAAUCUUAAUAUUAAAACUCUAGCAUGCAUAUGAUGAAUAGUUGCUCUGCCUAAUUUUCAAAUUUGAGUUUUCUCUCUAGUUUAGACAUAACUGUUAUAAUUUAAAGCUUGCUCUAAACCUAAACUUGUGGGAAGAAAACUUGAUCUGGAGUCUAAGUUGUUAACGGAUAUGAUAUGGGAAGGUUGAGCUGCUGUUUAUCUGUUCCUAGAGAUGCUAGAAUCCUGGAGAAGUUUAUCUUUUAAAAUCUUUAAAAUAUUGCAUGUUGAGUUCCUGUAUGAUGAGAGUUUAAAUUCCUACCACAGCCAUAUAUACAUGCUUGCUAGACUUUAAGCCACACAUUUACUUUUUACUGCUUAUGAGCAUUGUGUGUGGUCAAGCUGCGUAGACCCUUAGGAGCUUGUCAUGUGGUUAAAAUCAAGAUUUACUUGCACGUUCACUCACACAUGCUGCUUCUAUUCCGGAAGUACCAUCCACAUGUAUCCACUCAUUUCCAUCUCCAGAACCACCCAAAAAUAUUCUACUCCUAAUCCAGGAGAGAAUAACCAAAAAUAUUUUUGUUUUUCCCUUGUGAAAUAAAUGUUCAAGUUAUCUUGUUACUACCACUUGCUAUAUUAUUUCAUGAGAUGAGUGCUCUAAAAAAAGAGAUACGAGGAAAUAAAAAGGGGCAAGUGCCCGGAACCUCGAAAGAAAAGAAAAGAAAAAGUGAGACGAGAGGUAAAAACGGACAAGUGUCCGACAGUAGAAUUAGGGGUACAAAAUACCCACCUGAGAGGAAAGAAAAAGAAAAUAUAGAGCAUCUCAUUCUCCUCACAAAGUUUCAAAAAGCAAGAAAGGUAUGUAUCCCCUCAAAAGAGCAAAAGUAGAAUUAGACUUUCACCAUCAUUACCAUACACCAUUCAUUCGCCACACAUGCACAUCUUGUUUUGACUUAUUGAUUUGUUUCAUUGGAUCCAUGGUUUGACUAUACAAUAAAUGUCUUAUAAGUAUGUAUAUUUUAUCUCUCACCUAUGAGC